rnacentral:lncRNA from 1 species
UUCAGGAGGUUACAAUCCACGAGAAACAGAAGGAAAGCUGGCAGUUAAGGAAAGGAGUAAGUGAAAUUGGAGAAGAUGUGGACUAUGAUGAGGAACUCUAUGUUGCUGGAAAUAUGGUGAUAUGGAGCAAAGGAAGUAAAAGCCAGGCAUUGGCAGUUUAUAAAGCAUUUACAGUUGACAGUCCUGUUCAGCAGGUAGCAAUGAAGUAGAAAAAUGCAUAUGUAUAUUGCAAAGCUCAUGUAUUAACAUGCAUAGCAUAGAAG